rnacentral:rRNA from 1 species
AACUCCUACGGGAGGCAGCAGUGGGGAAUAUUGCACAAUGGGGGAAACCCUGAUGCAGCGACGCCGCGUGAGCGAUGAAGUAUUUCGGUAUGUAAAGCUCUAUCAGCAGGGAAGAAAAUGACGGUACCUGACUAAGAAGCACCGGCUAAAUACGUGCCAGCAGCCGCGGUAAUACGUAUGGUGCAAGCGUUAUCCGGAUUUACUGGGUGUAAAGGGAGCGUAGACGGAGUGGCAAGUCUGAUGUGAAAACCCGGGGCUCAACCCCGGGACUGCAUUGGAAACUGUCAAUCUAGAGUACCGGAGAGGUAAGCGGAAUUCCUAGUGUAGCGGUGAAAUGCGUA